rnacentral:rRNA from 1 species
UACGUAGGGCGCAAGCGUUAUCCGGAAUUAUUGGGCGUAAAGAGCUCGUAGGCGGUUUGUCGCGUCUGCCGUGAAAGUCCGGGGCUCAACUCCGGAUCUGCGGUGGGUACGGGCAGACUAGAGUGCAGUAGGGGAGACUGGAAUUCCUGGUGUAGCGGUGAAAUGCGCAGAUAUCAGGAGGAACACCGGUGGCGAAGGCGGGUCUCUGGACAAUACCUGACACUGAGGCACGAAAGCCAAGGGAGCAAACAGG